UACGUAGGUGGCAAGCGUUAUCCGGAUUUACUGGGUGUAAAGGGCGUGUAGGCGGGAAAGCAAGUCAGAUGUGAAAACCAUGGGCUCAACCUGUGGCCUGCAUUUGAAACUGUUUUUCUUGAGUACUGGAGAGGCAGACGGAAUUCCUAGUGUAGCGGUGAAAUGCGUAGAUAUUAGGAGGAGCACCAGUGGCGAAGGCGGUCUGCUGGACAGCAACUGACGCUGAGGCGCGAAAGCGUGGGGAGCAAACAGG
rnacentral:rRNA from 1 species